rnacentral:lncRNA from 10 species
CUUUUUCUUACCCUUAUGGUUUUGGAUUUAACCUCAUUCUCCCUUCUUGGUGUUUGUUCUUGACCUCAGCCUCUUUCUACUCUUUGUAGACAUAAAUGAAUGCACAGAUUUUGUAGAUGUCCCUUGUAGCCACUUCUGCAACAAUUUCAUUGGUGGUUACUUCUGCUCCUGCCCCCCGGAAUAUUUCCUCCAUGAUGACAUGAAGAAUUGCGGAGUUAAUUGCAGUGGGGAUGUAUUCACUGCACUGAUUGGGGAGAUUGCAAGUCCCAAUUAUCCCAAACCAUAUCCAGAGAACUCAAGGUGUGAAUACCAGAUCCGGUUGGAGAAAGGGUUCCAAGUGGUGGUGACCUUGCGGAGAGAAGAUUUUGAUGUGGAAGCAGCUGACUCAGCGGGAAACUGCCUUGACAGUUUAGUUGUGCGUGAUGGUUGAUUAAUACCCCACCCUUAACUUACACAGAGAGAUCUCUCCCUGAAGACAAAUUUUUUUUUCAUACAGCAUCUUUCUCUGUUGCUCAAGCUGGAGUGCAG